GGCUUAUAGAGGAGUGACACUUAGGUAGUCUAGUAAGCUGCAAACUCUGGUUCUUUGACAACGCAUUACUGAGGACCAAGAUGGAUUUCUUGCCUCAUGCUGAUCACAAACUAGAGUUUACUCUUACCCUACCCUUUACUCUUUUAUCUACCACAGCAUCAUUGGACACAGUCUAGCUUUCGAGGCUUGUUUUAAGUUGCCUGCGACUUUUACUUGGACACAGGCAGCUAAAGCAAGUCUGGGACGCCAGAGACACACCUACAACCACAGCCUUGAGGAAUCGCUGCCAAGCGAAGAGUGGAAAAUUUAGUCCAAGGUGAAGGAAUGUGGGGAAUUAAUUCUGCGUUGAUCUGUUAUGCAAGAUUUUGCUCCCUUAUGUCUGAGAGGAAAAGCCUGGAAACCAUAUGUUACAUUUUAUAAACUAAACUAGUGGGACAAAUUAAGGCUAAAUCGGAUGCCAUCUGUUUUUUAAAGACUGAUUAUGUGCAAACUUGUAUGCUAAAACUAUGUAGCUGAAUAAAUAUAUAACAUAUGUAUAGCUUUAACUUAUUUACUUAUAGUGCAUUUCUUCUAGAGUGUUUGCACUGUGAGCUCAGUCAGGUGACACAUCAUAGAACAAACACUGAAACACAUGAUGAAUGAUUAGCGACUGUUGGGAUCUUGUGUGGUUUGUUUUGCUGAAAAUACAAUAUAUCUGUCAUGACACACGCAGGCUGACCAGUGCUACUGAAGGAAUCUAAAAACACAACUUACUUUCACUUCUGUUGGAUUACAUGGAUUCUAAUAGCUUUUACUUGAAAAAGGUGGAAAUUAGGGGGGG